GAUGAACGCUGGCGGCGUGCCUAAUACAUGCAAGUCGAGCGAAUGGAUUAAGAGCUUGCUCUUAUGAAGUUAGCGGCGGACGGGUGAGUAACACGUGGGUAACCUGCCCAUAAGACUGGGAUAACUCCGGGAAACCGGGGCUAAUACCGGAUAACAUUUUGAACCGCAUGGUUCGAAAUUGAAAGGCGGCUUCGGCUGUCACUUAUGGAUGGAACCGCGUCGCAUUAGCUAGUUGGUGAGGUAACGGCUCACCAAGGCAACGAUGCGUAGCCGACCUGAGAGGGUGAUCGGCCACACUGGGACUGAGACACGGCCCAGACUCCUACGGGAGGCAGCAGUAGGGAGUCUUCCGCAAUGGACGAAAGUCUGACGGAGCAACGCCGCGUGAGUGAUGAAGGCUUUCGGGUCGUAAAACUCUGUUGUUAGGGAAGAACAAGUGCUAGUUGAAUAAGCUGGCACCUUGACGGUACCUAACCAGAAAGCCACGGCUAACUACGUGCCAGCCGCCGCUGUAA
rnacentral:rRNA from 1 species